rnacentral:rRNA from 1 species
AGUGAACGCUGGCGGUAGGCCUAACACAUGCAAGUCGAACGGCAGCACAGUAAGAGCUUGCUCUUACGGGUGGCGAGUGGCGGACGGGUGAGGAAUACAUCGGAAUCUACUUUUUCGUGGGGGAUAACGUAGGGAAACUUACGCUAAUACCGCAUACGACCUACGGGUGAAAGCAGGGGAUCUUCGGACCUUGCGCGAUUGAAUGAGCCGAUGUCGGAUUAGCUAGUUGGCGGGGUAAAGGCCCACCAAGGCGACGAUCCGUAGCUGGUCUGAGAGGAUGAUCAGCCACACUGGAACUGAGACACGGUCCAGACUCCUACGGGAGGCAGCAGUGGGGAAUAUUGGACAAUGGGCGCAAGCCUGAUCCAGCCAUACCGCGUGGGUGAAGAAGGCCUUCGGGUUGUAAAGCCCUUUUGUUAGGAAAGAAAAGCAGCAGGUUAAUACCCCGCUGUUCUGACGGUACCCAAGGAAUAAGCACCGGCUAACUUCGUG